rnacentral:lncRNA from 1 species
UUAGGAUAAAAAGAUGGAUCUCAGUUUGUGUUCCUAUAGAACAUUUCUAUUCCAUGGAAGAAUUGCCUGGUCCAUUUGUGUCUCCAUGAAAUGAUACAUAGUAAUAUAGUGCAAUUGAACAUGCUGAGGUUAUUAUUUUGGUUAACAAGGCAAAAGUAGCGCUAUACUGCCCAACAUAUUAAUUGCUAAAAAACUGGAGCUUUUGGUUAUUUCAAAAUAGAAGUAGGGAUAAGAAGAUUGGAAAACUCUUAGAUAAAUGUCCUAUAUAACCAAUUUGCCUUACAAAAUACCUAUUACUCACAAAUUAUCCGCCCUUUAACA